rnacentral:rRNA from 1 species
UACGUAGGGUGCGAGCGUUGUCCGGAAUUAUUGGGCGUAAAGGGCUCGUAGGCGGUUUGUCGCGUCGGGAGUGAAAACCCAGGGCUUAACCCUGGGCUGGCUUCCGAUACGGGCAGACUAGAGGUAUGCAGGGGAGAACGGAAUUCCUGGUGUAGCGGUGAAAUGCGCAGAUAUCAGGAGGAACACCGGUGGCGAAGGCGGGUCUCUGGGCCGUGACUGACGCUGAGGAGCGAAAGCGUGGGUAGCAAACAGG